AGAGUUUGAUCCUGGCUCAGGAUGAACGCUGGCGGCGUGCUUAACACAUGCAAGUCGAACGAACCUUCGGGUUAGUGGCGGACGGGUGAGUAACGCGUGGGAAUCUGCCCUCAGGAGGGGGAUAACGGCUGGAAACGGCCGCUAAUACCCCAUAUGCCGAGAGGUGAAAUGAAUUUCGCCUGAGGAUGAGCCCGCGUCUGAUUAGCUUGUUGGUGAGGUAAUGGCUCACCAAGGCUUCGAUCAGUAGCUGGUCUGAGAGGAUGAUCAGCCACACUGGGACUGAGACACGGCCCAGACUCCUACGGGAGGCAGCAGUGGGGAAUUUUCCGCAAUGGGCGAAAGCCUGACGGAGCAACGCCGCGUGAGGGAUGAAGGCCUCUGGGCUGUAAACCUCUUUUCUCAAGGAAGAAGAUCUGACGGUACUUGAGGAAUAAGCCACGGCUAAUUCCGUGCCAGCAGCCGCGGUAAUACGGGAGUGGCAAGCGUUAUCCGGAAUUAUUGGGCGUAAAGCGUCCGCAGGCGGCCUUUCAAGUCUGCUGUUAAAGCGUGGAGCUUAACUCCAUUAUGGCAGUGGAAACUGUUGGGCUUGAGUGUGGUAGGGGCAGAGGGAAUUCCCGGUGUAGCGGUGAAAUGCGUAGAUAUCGGGAAGAACACCAGUGGCGAAGGCGCUCUGCUGGGCCAUAACUGACGCUCAUGGACGAAAGCCAGGGGAGCGAAAGGGAUUAGAUACCCCUGUAGUCCUGGCCGUAAACGAUGAACACUAGGUGUCGGGGGAAUCGACCCCCUCGGUGUCGUAGCCAACGCGUUAAGUGUUCCGCCUGGGGAGUACGCACGCAAGUGUGAAACUCAAAGGAAUUGACGGGGGCCCGCACAAGCGGUGGAGUAUGUGGUUUAAUUCGAUGCAACGCGAAGAACCUUACCAGGGUUUGACAUCCUGCGAACCUCUUAGAAAUUUGAGGGUGCCUUCGGGAACGCAGUGACAGGUGGUGCAUGGCUGUCGUCAGCUCGUGUCGUGAGAUGUUGGGUUAAGUCCCGCAACGAGCGCAACCCACGUUUUUAGUUGCCAGCAUUUAGUUGGGCACUCUAGAGAGACCGCCGGUGAUAAACCGGAGGAAGGUGUGGAUGACGUCAAGUCAUCAUGCCCCUUACAUCCUGGGCUACACACGUACUACAAUGCUACGGACAAAGGGCAGCAAACUCGCGAGAGCUAGCAAAUCCCAUAAACCGUGGCUCAGUUCAGAUCGUAGGCUGCAACUCGCCUACGUGAAGUAGGAAUCGCUAGUAAUCGCAGGUCAGCAUACUGCGGUGAAUACGUUCCCGGGCCUUGUACACACCGCCCGUCACACCAUGGAAGUUGGCCACGCCCGAAGUCGUUACUCCAACCCUUGUGGAGGAGGACGCCGAAGGUGGGGCUGAUGACUGGGGUGAAGUCGUAACAAGGUAGCCGUACCGGAAGGUGCGGCUG
rnacentral:rRNA from 1 species